rnacentral:rRNA from 1 species
CCUACGGGCGGCUGCAGUGGGGAAUAUUGGACAAUGGGGGGAACCCUGAUCCAGCCAUGCCGCGUGUGUGAAGAAGGCCCUCGGGUUGUAAAGCACUUUCAGUGAGGAAGAACGCCUGGUGGUUAAUACCCAUCAGGAAAGACAUCACUCACAGAAGAAGCACCGGCUAACUCCGUGCCAGCAGCCGCGGUAAUACGGAGGGUGCGAGCGUUAAUCGGAAUUACUGGGCGUAAAGCGCGCGUAGGUGGCUUGAUAAGCCGGUUGUGAAAGCCCCGGGCUCAACCUGGGAACGGCAUCCGGAACUGUCAAGCUAGAGUGCAGGAGAGGAAGGUAGAAUUCCCGGUGUAGCGGUGAAAUGCGUAGAGAUCGGGAGGAAUACCAGUGGCGAAGGCGGCCGUCUGGACUGACACUGACACUGAGGUGCGAAAGCGUGGGUAGCAAACAGGAUUAGAUACCCGGGUAGUC